rnacentral:rRNA from 1 species
UACGGGGGGAGCAAGCGUUGUUCGGAUUUACUGGGCGUAAAGGGCGCGUAGGCGGCCAGCGCAAGUCAGUUGUGAAAUCUCCGAGCUUAACUCGGAAAGGUCAACUGAUACUGCGCGGCUAGAGUGCGGAAGGGGCAACUGGAAUUCUUGGUGUAGCGGUGAAAUGCGUAGAUAUCAAGAGGAACACCUGCGGCGAAGGCGGGUUGCUGGGCCGACACUGACGCUGAGGCGCGAAAGCUAGGGGAGCGAACAGG